GAGGGCACUAGCAUCUGGCUUUAAUCUCUGUCUGAAGGAAACAUGAGCCCUCCCCCAGUCUAGUGGGUUUUCCUCUCCCCAGCUGAACUCAGAAUUGAUCAUUUUGGGACUUUAAAGCAAUACAUUCAAUCAAGGAGCAAAACUGGAAAUUCCUGACUUGGAAACAGAUGGUGAGGAUCUCACAUGUCAAUCACAUAAGAAGAAAUAUAAGACUUUGAAGUGCCCCUCGAACCCCCUGAAAGGAUUUCUGGGUAUUCUGUCUAGCAUAUCUACCUGGAUUAUCUGAUUCUUUGGUGGCCUACUCCUUUAAUUGUCUUUGUGCUGUUUUUAAAUCUCUGUAAAU
ensembl:lncRNA